ensembl:rRNA 5S_rRNA 5S ribosomal RNA
GUCUACGGCCAUACCACCCUGAACGCGCCCGAUCUCGUCUGACCUUAGAAGCUAAGCAGGGUCGGGCCUGGUUAGUACUUGGAUGGGAGAAUAUAGAAGCUCAGGUUUGAACU